GUCUUAUCAAGAGCAGGUGGAGGGAUGAGCCCUACGAAGCCCGGCAACCGACCCAUUUAUGGGCACGGUGCUAAUUCUUACAACACAUUGUGUUGAAAGAUAAGAG
rnacentral:ncRNA from 22 species